rnacentral:rRNA from 1 species
UACGUAGGGUGCGAGCGUUGUCCGGAAUUACUGGGCGUAAAGGGCUCGUAGGCGGCCAACUAAGUCGGAUGUGAAAUCCCCAGGCUCAACUUGGGAACUGCAUCCGAUACUGGAUGGCUUGAAUUCGGGAGAGGGAUGCAGAAUUCCAGGUGUAGCGGUGAAAUGCGUAGAUAUCUGGAGGAAUACCGGUGGCGAAGGCGGCAUCCUGGACACUUCCUGACGCUGAGGCACGAAAGCCAGGGGAGCAAACGGG